UUUGCAACCUCGUAUCCAGGGCUUCUGCGCUUCUCAGAAGCAAUAAGCGCAGAAGCCCUGGAUACGAGGUUGCAA